rnacentral:rRNA from 1 species
AGAGUUUGAUCCUGGCUCAGAACGAACGCUGGCGGCGUGGCUAAGACAUGCAAGUCGCACGGACUAUGCUUAACCGUAUAGUCAGUGGCGAAAGGGUGAGGAAUAGAUAGGUAACGUACCCUGUGCACCGGAAUAGCGUCGUUAGCAGCAAUGCUAACUACCGAAAGGGGCGGUAAUACCGGAUAACGUUGUCGGUCGCAUGACUGACAUCCAAUGGAUUUAUCGGCACAGGAGCGGCCUUUCUCCUAUCAGCUAGUUGGCGAGGUAAUGGCUCACCAAGGCUAUGACGGGUACCGGGAUUGAGAGAUUGACCCGGCACAUCGGAACUGAGACACUGUCCGGACCUCCACGGAGGGCUGCAGUAACGAAUAUUGGGCAAUGGGCGCAAGCCUGACCCAGCGACGCCGCGUGAAGGAUGAAGUCCUUCGGGAUGUAAACUUCUUUUAGGGUGCUGAAA